rnacentral:misc_RNA from 1 species
UUUCAUGUCAUCAGUGCAGAAAUAUUAAAGCUUCUGUUGUUACCUGUUCAAAAUGCAGAAGGAAACACUAUUGCGACGACUGCAUUGUAAAGUGGUAUCCAGAUAGAACAAACGAUGAAGUAGAGGACACAUGUCCUUUCUGUUAUGGUAAUUGCAAUUGUGGAGCUUGCCUUCAAAAAGAUGUCUUCUUAAAGGACUGCUGCAAAGAAACUGAUGAAAAGAUGAGAUUGGAGGGUUCACUUUAUUUGCUAUUCAACAUUCUGCCCCUCCUCAGGCAUAUUCAAAAAGAGCAAAGGUUUGAGCUAGAGGUUGAAGCAAACAUUCGUGGUGUUCAG